GACGAACCGUGCGACCGUUGUUCGGAAUCACUGGGCUUAAAGGGCGCGUAGGCGGCUUGCCAAGUCAGGGGUGAAAUCUUUCGGCUUAACCGGAAAAGUGCCUUUGAUACUGGCAGGCUAGAGGGAGGUAGGGGCAUGCGGAACUUCCGGUGGAGCGGUGAAAUGUGUUGAUAUCGGAAGGAACGCCGGUGGCGAAAGCGGCGUGCUGGACCUCUUCUGACGCUGAGGCGCGAAAGCUAGGGGAGCAAACGGG
rnacentral:rRNA from 1 species